UCCAGCACUCAGGAUUCUGGCAGACCAUCAGACUGGAUGCUUCUCUUUCCUAAAGAGGCCAUAACACACAUCCUGGGCAGCGUUCAUUCAUGGAUGGGAAGGAGUGGCCAACAUCUCCAAAUCAAAGCCUUGUGAUGGGGACCCGCCAAGCCCCAGGCCUUCGAACUCUGUUCUGAGACUGGCAAGGCAUCCCGGGGUGCACAUGGCUGAAGCUCAGUUUCCCGACGACAGUCCUGGUGUUAGUCAUAAACAACGCAGGACAAUUGCUCACCCUGCUGAUUCGGUGACCACGCCAGCCAGGUAGCCCUCCGUGUGGUAGCCCUUCUGCCAUUCUGCAGUACGUCUCAUAGAACACACGGCAGAGGAAGAGAAAGCAGGAAAUCGCAGGGGGCUGGGUUAAAGCAUGAAAACUGCUACUACUGCUCUGUACACCAGACAUGGGCACAAAUCUAAUGGCAUGAGGAGCUGGGGACUCUAAGCUGCCAGCAUGGCCAAGGAUAAGAAAUGGUGUGGUUCGGUGAAAUACAAGGCGCCAUGAAACCCAGGCUUCCUGUAUGCACAGGAAGCAGAAACAGUGUGGACAUGCUCCUGUGAGUUCAGUGUAUCCAAGGACUGCACUGGCAAAUUGUGGCUUUCACUCUCUUGCAGUUAAGCAAUUCUCAGCUUUCUGAAGAGUUCAGAAGUGCAAAUAAAGAGGAAAAAAAAUGCAAAGACCACCCCCAAACAUCAGAGUUAUUUUGGCAUGUUUAGGGGCUGGAGAGAUGACUCAGAGAUUAAGAGCACUGUCUGUUCUUCCAAACUUCCUGGGUUCAAUUCCCAGCAACCACAUGGUGGCUCACAACCAUCUAUAACGAGAUCUGGUACCCUCUUCUGGCACACAGGCAGAAAACUAUAUACAUAAUGAAUAAAUAUUUUAAAGAAA